AGAGCGAACGCUGGCGGCAGGCCUAACACACGCAAGUCGAGCGCCCCGCAAGGGGAGCGGCAGACGGGAGAGUAACACGUGGGAACGUACCCUUCAGUUCGGAACAACCCAGGGAAACUUGGGCUAAUACCGAAUACGUCCGUAAGGAGAAAGAUUUAUCGCUGAAGGAUCGGCCCGCGUCUGAUUAGCUAGUUGGUGAGGUAACGGCUCACCAAGGCUACGAUCAGUAGCUGGUCUGAGAGGAUGAUCAGCCUCACUGGGACUGAGACACGGCCCAGACUCCUACGGGAGGCAGCAGUGGGGAAUAUUGGACAAUGGGCGCAAGCCUGAUUCAGCCAUGCCGCGUGGAUGAUGAAGGCCUUAGGGUUGUAAAGUCCUUUCGACGGGGAAGAUAAUGACGGUACCCGUAGAAGAAGCCCCGGCUAACUUCGUGCCAGCAGCCGC
rnacentral:rRNA from 1 species